CGGCCCGGCGGGUCCGUCGCCACCGUAAGCAAUCAUUGUGAGACGGAGGGAGGAAAGUCCGGGCAACAAAGGGCACCAUGCUUCUUAACGGGAAGCGACCGGCAACGGUCGGUAGCUGCAGAAGAAAAGAACCGCCCUCCUCAGCGGGGGUAAGGGUGAGAAGGUGAGGUAAGAGCUCACCGGCGUCUGUAGUGAUGCAGACGGCCGUGCACACCAUGGGUUGCAAUGUCAAGUAAACCGGCGCUAUGAGGGCGGCCCGCCCCAUGCCGGAGGGUAGGCAGCUGGAGCGUGCGGGCAACCGUACGCCGAGAUAAAUGACGGACAGCGGUCAACGACCGUUACAUAACCCGGCUUAUAAGUCAGACCGGUUC
rfam:Prevotella sp. CAG:485 genomic scaffold, scf174